GCCUACCCUCACGAUGGUUCAAGAGGACUAAAGCGGCCCGCUCCAGCCAGCCCGCCUGUCACAGAUAACCAUCAUGGGGCUGGAGCCAAGGGUGCAACUGGAUGUGGCAGAAACCUUGGACCACUGGACAAAACCCCAAGAGGGCUUGUCAGAAGAUCCUCUGACCAAUCCUGAGGAAAUCUGGUACACUGAUGGAAGCAGCUUUGUCUUGGAUGGAAAAAGAAGAGCCGGGUAUGCAGUAGUCUCCAAUUUUGAGACCAUAGAGGCUAAGCCUCUGCCACCAGGUCAACAAGCUACAACAUGCAGUGCCAGUUCAACAAAGAUAUAAAACUACAGCCGACCACGGAAAAUAUCACUC
ensembl:lncRNA